rnacentral:rRNA from 1 species
UUAAGCGUGUAGGCUGGUUUUCCAGGCAAAUCCGGAAAAUCAAGGCUGAGGCGUGAUGACGAGGCACUACGGUGCUGAAGCAACAAAUGCCCUGCUUCCAGGAAAAGCCUCUAAGCAUCAGGUAACAUCAAAUCGUACCCCAAACCGACACAGGUGGUCAGGUAGAGAAUACCAAGGCGCUUGAGAGAACUCGGGUGAAGGAACUAGGCAAAAUGGUGCCGUAACUUCGGGAGAAGGCACGC